CUGGGCGUUGGUGGCGAGCUAAGGUGGAGGUAAGCAGCGGCAACGACACGGCAGUGCCAUGGCAGGCUCGCAGGAUCCCUGCAGCCUUGGUGAUCCCGGCUGACAGCCAGAGAGCAAAGUGGCUCAGCUCCUGGAGAGAGAGUCGAAGAAAACGAAGGGCAGCCACCUAUGCCUGCUGACUCCCAUUAGGUCAGUUCCUGCAGCGGUACCUGGCAGCCUUGGUGAAGGCCCUGCCCAGUAGAGAUCAUGUAUUGCCUCCAAUGUCUGCUGCCCGUCCUCCUCAUCCCCAAGCCCCUCAACCCCGCUCUGUGGUUCAGCCACUCCAUGUUCAUGGGCUUCUACCUGCUCAGCUUCCUCCUGGAACGUAAACCUUGCACAAUAUGUGCCUUGGUUUUCCUGGCAGCCCUCUUUCUCAUCUGCUAUAGCUGCUGGGGAAAUCGUUUCCUGUACCACUGCUCCGAUUCCACACUUCCGGAAUCAGCCCAUGACCCCAGUGUUGUGGGCACCUAACAUCUGCGGAGAUAGCUUGCCAAGGAAGCAGAAGACGGGAGGGGAGGCAUUGACAUAGGUCACAAAGCAUUGGAGUUUCAAAUCCCGCAUCCCUGUGGGUACCACAUUCCCAAUGGAGCCUUUUGGCUUGUGAUGUUUUAUCCUUACAAUGUGAAUAAUGGCACUGAUCGGUGCUUCUAUUGUAGAGUCCUGUAGUCGUGGGUGGUCUUA
rnacentral:lncRNA from 1 species